rnacentral:rRNA from 1 species
AGCGGCGGACGGGUGAGUAACGCGUGGGUAACCGUGCCUCAUACAGGGGAGUAACAGUUGGAAACGGCUGCUAAUACCGCAUAAGCGCACAGUACCGCAUGGUACCGUGUGAAAAACUCCGGUGGUAUGAGAUGGACCCGCGUCUGAUUAGGUAGUUGGUGGGGUAACGGCCUACCAAGCCGACGAUCAGUAGCCGACCUGAGAGGGUGACCGGCCACAUUGGGACUGAGACAUGGCCCAA